rnacentral:RNase_P_RNA from 1 species
CGGUCGGAUGGCCGCCGCCACGGGAUUCUAUCCCGAGGGGGAGGAAAGUCCGGGCUCCACGGGGAUACAGUGCCGGGUAACACCCGGCGAGGGUGACCUCAGGGAAAGUGCCACAGAAAGCAAACCGCCUGCGUGCCGUGAGGUUCGGGGGUAAGGGUGAAAGGGUGCGGUAAGAGCGCACCGCGGUCUCGGUAACGGGGCCGGCAGGGUAAACCCCACUGGGAGCAAGACCAAAUAGGGGCGGCACGCCGUUCGUUCGGCAGAUUUUAUCCCCGAAUCCGCUGCCCGGGUAGGUCGCGCGAGGUGUUCGGCAACGGACACCCUAGAUGAAUGGCCAUCGCCCGCCGGAGACGGUGGGAACAGAACCCGGCUUAUAGGCCGUCUG